GUGCACGCUGGCGGUAGGCCUAACACAUGCAAGUCGAACGGCAGCACAGUAAGAGCUUGCUCUUACGGGUGGCGAGUGGCGGACGGGUGAGGAAUACAUCGGAAUCUACUUUUUCGUGGGGGAUAACGUAGGGAAACUUACGCUAAUACCGCAUACGACCUACGGAUGAAAGCAGGGGAUCUUCGGACCUUGCGCGAUUGAAUGAGCCGAUGUCGGAUUAGCUAGUUGGCAGGGUAAAGGCCCACCAAGGCGACGAUCCGUAGCUGGUCUGAGAGGAUGAUCAGCCACACUGGAACUGAGACACGGUCCAGACUCCUACGGGAGGCAGCAGUGGGGAAUAUUGGACAAUGGGCGCAAGCCUGAUCCAGCCAUACCGCGUGGGUGAAGAAGGCCUUCGGGUUGUAAAGCCCUUUUGUUGGGAAAGAAAAGCAGCAGGUUAAUACCCCGCUGUUCUGACGGUACCCAAAGAAUAAGCACCGGCUAACUUCGUG
rnacentral:rRNA from 1 species